GGACACAAGCGCAGAUGAGUCCAAAAUGGCAAACGGGUGGUUUGAUAACGUUCAAAAUACAAAAACAAAAGGCAGGAACAAGCAAGAGUACCAAACACACUAACGACAAUGACCAACAAGAAUCACUGGGACAGGAGGAACUUAAAUAGGGACACAACGAGGGAGCAAAUAAGGCACAGGUGAAACCAAUAAGGACAAGGACAGGUUGCUGUGACCAAGGCUAUUCUGGUAGCUCUGUUCAUCUUCGCCAUCCUGCUCAUCCUCUAUGUGAUCCUCUGGUACAUCUGCCGAGACGUGGACUGCGACCACGGCAUCUGAUCUGAUUAACACUGGGAACAGCGCUGAAUUACGAAGGAUAGAACCGUCUGACAGGGUCAUCCUGAGCCUAAGCUUCCACAAUGUCACCACCAGGAGGGAUGUUCUUUUAUUUUCUCCACUCUGAGAGGUAGCCUAUAUCGUUACCCGCGCACGAGGACAGGCAAUGACACUGCGCGGGAACCGGUGCUGUCCCAGUGGGCACAUUUGGAUGUGAGACCAGCUGCAAAUGUUGGCAAAUGCUGAUCAUCGUCGCGGUGUGUGGAUGUGUGCGUGGGUGUGUCUAACUGUAAGUUGCGCUGGACAGAAGCGUCUGGUUAAACGACUAAAAUGUAAAAUGUGAAAAUGAUGUGCGGAUGAGAUCCAUGGUUCAAGUUCAGUUCAUCUUAUCUCAUAAGGGUAUAAUCAAACCGAAUUAGUCUUCCCUUAAGCCAGUUUCAGUUUUUCUUUUGUCUUUCGAGAAUAAUUUGAUGUUUAUCGC
ensembl:lncRNA